rnacentral:rRNA from 1 species
GAUGAACGCUGGCGGCGUGCUUAACACAUGCAAGUCGAACGGUGAAGCAGGAGCUUGCUCUUGUGGAUCAGUGGCGAACGGGUGAGUAACACGUGAGCAACCUGCCCCUGACUCUGGGAUAAGCGCUGGAAACGGCGUCUAAUACUGGAUAUGUGAUGUGACCGCAUGGUCUGCAUCUGGAAAGAAUUUCGGUUGGGGAUGGGCUCGCGGCCUAUCAGCUUGUUGGGGAGGUAAUGGCUCACCAAGGCGUCGACGGGUAGACGGCCUGAGAGGGUGACCGGCCACACUGGGACUGAGACACGGCCCAGGCUCCUACGUGAGGCAGCAGUGGGGAAUAUUGCACAAUGUGCGGAAGCCUGAUGCAGCAACGCCGCGUGAGGGAUGACGGCCUUCGGGUUGUAAACCUCUUUUAGCAGGGAAGAAGCGAAAGUGACGGUACCUGCAGAAAAAGCACCGGCUAACUACGUGCCAGCCGCCGCCGUAA